UUAUGUUUUUGUAAAUUUUAAAUCAUUAAAAAAUUUGUAUGGAGUUGGAACGUUUGCGUACGUUUGCCGCUAGGGGCGCUGUUCAAACUGCAUACAAAUUUGAGUUAACUUUUACGCUAUCGA
rnacentral:pre_miRNA from 9 species